rnacentral:rRNA from 1 species
AGCAGUGGGGAAUUUUGGACAAUGGGCGCAAGCCUGAUCCAGCAAUGCCGCGUGAGUGAAGAAGGCCUUCGGGUUGUAAAGCUCUUUUGUCAGGGAAGAAACGGUGAGAGCUAAUAUCUCUUGCUAAUGACGGUACCUGAAGAAUAAGCACCGGCUAACUACGUGCCAGCAGCCGCGGUAAUACGUAGGGUGCAAGCGUUAAUCGGAAUUACUGGGCGUAAAGCGUGCGCAGGCGGUUUUGUAAGUUUGUCGUGAAAGCCCCGGGCUCAACCUGGGAAUUGCGAUGAAGACUGCAAGGCUUGAAUCUGGCAGAGGGGGGUAGAAUUCCACGUGUAGCAGUGAAAUGCGUAGAGAUGUGGAGGAAUACCGAUGGCGAAGGCAGCCCCCUGGGUCAAGAUUGACGCUCAUG